rnacentral:rRNA from 1 species
GGGUCAGUAGGUUGGUCGUGCCACCGGUACGUACUGGUCUCACUGAUUCCUCCUUCCUGAAGAACCGUAAUGCCAUUAAUUUGGUGUUGCGGGGAAACAGGACUGUUACUUUGAAAAAAUUAGAGUGUUUAAAGCAAGCUAACGCUUGAAUACAUUAGCAUGGAAUAAUGGAAUAGGGCGAUCGAUCCUAUUUUGUUGGUUUCUAGGAUUGACGUA